rnacentral:rRNA from 1 species
AGUCGAGCGGAUGAAGGGAGCUUGCUCCUGAAUUCAGCGGCGGACGGGUGAGUAAUGCCUAGGAAUCUGCCUGGUAGUGGGGGACAACGUUUCGAAAGGAACGCUAAUACCGCAUACGUCCUACGGGAGAAAGCAGGGGACCUUCGGGCCUUGCGCUAUCAGAUGAGCCUAGGUCGGAUUAGCUAGUUGGUGAGGUAAUGGCUCACCAAGGCGACGAUCCGUAACUGGUCUGAGAGGAUGAUCAGUCACACUGGAACUGAGACACGGUCCAGACUCCUACGGGAGGCAGCAGUGGGGAAUAUUGGACAAUGGGCGAAAGCCUGAUCCAGCCAUGCCGCGUGUGUGAAGAAGGUCUUCGGAUUGUAAAGCACUUUAAGUUGGGAGGAAGGGUUGUAGAUUAAUACUCUGCAAUUUUGACGUUACCGACAGAAUUUUUUUCCGGCUAACUCUGUGCCAGCAGCCGCGGUAAUACAGAGGGUG